AACGUAGGAGCCUAGCGUUAUCCGAAUUCACUGGGCGUAAAGCGCGUGCAGGCGGUUCGGUAAGUUGGAUGUGAAAUCUCCUGGCUCAACUGGGAGAGGACGUUCAAGACUGUCGGACUAGAGGACGGUAGAGGAAGGUAGAAUUCCCGGUGUAGUGGUGAAAUGCGUAGAGAUCGGGAGGAACACCUGUGGCGAAGGCGGCCACCUGGGCCGACCCUGACGCUGAGGCGCGAAGGCGUGGGGAGCGAACGGG
rnacentral:rRNA from 1 species